UGGCUCAGUUGGUGGAGCAUGGGACUCUUGAUCUCAGGGUUGUGAGUUCAAGCCCCAC
rfam:Felis catus isolate Cinnamon breed Abyssinian chromosome C1, whole genome shotgun sequence.